UCAAGGGCUGUGCCUUGGUCUGGUUCUCUCACUUCAAGAAAGGUAGUGAGGUGCUGGAGCGUGUCCAGAGAAGGAGACAGAGAUGGGGGAGCACAAAUCUGUGAGGAGCAGCUGAGGGAGAGGGGGUUAUUCAGCCUGGAGAAAAGAAGGCUCAGGGGUGACCUAAUCACUCUCUACAGCUGCCUGUAAGGAGGCUGUAGCCAGAACGCUGUAAAACUUGCCAGGUGCUGCUGAUGAGGGGUGGUUUAUGAGGAUGCUCAUCAAUGGCCCAAGGUAGCAUAGAAGUACAAGGAGAGAAAUAUGCAAGGCUGUAGCUUUUGAAGAUGAAACAAAAAACUGAUACUAAAAAUUGAGUUUGUCCAGUAAACCUCUCUGUGACCUGAAGGAAAGGGAGACUUUAUUCCAGUGGUUGCUUAGUAAGUGAACGGACAUUUAUUAAUCAAAUAAAUCAACACCACCUAUGGCAACCUGCACCAGAAAUAUCUGCUGAGGAGAGAUGGAUGAACAAAGCAUGAGGAAAAAAUUAUCUGUGUAUUUUCAGAAACAUAAACCACCAUCAGUGCUGAAAAGCAGCAGUUCAGUCCCUUGGUUCAGUGCACCACAAAGAAGCAGGCAGCUGGAGCCCCAAGUGCGUUUCUCUGGUUCGUUCCUCUCCUCGCUGUGCAGCC